AACGAACGCUGGCGGCAUGCCUAACACAUGCAAGUCGAGCGGGGUGAUGGUGCUUGCACUAUCACUUAGCGGCGGACGGGUGAGUAAUGCUUAGGAAUCUGCCUAUUAGUGGGGGACAACAUCUCGAAAGGGAUGCUAAUACCGCAUACGUCCUACGGGAGAAAGCAGGGGAUCACUUGUGACCUCGCGCUAAUAGAUGAGCCUAAGUCGGAUUAGCUAGUUGGUGGGGUAAAGGCCUACCAAGGCGGCGAUCUGUAGCGGGUCUGAGAGGAUGAUCCGCCACACUGGGACAGAGACACGGCCCAGACUCCUACGGGAGGCAGCAGUGGGGAAUAUUGGACAAUGGGGGGAACCCUGAUCCAGCCAUGCCGCGUGUGUGAAGAAGGCCUUAUGGUUGUAAAGCACUUUAAGCGAGGAGGAGGCUCUUUUGGUUAAUACCCAAAAUGAGUGGACGUUACUCGCAGAAUAAGCACCGGCUAACUCUGUGCCAGCAGCCGCAGUAA
rnacentral:rRNA from 1 species